AAGGUUGGGGAGCAGGUGGGAGGGGAAGAAAGAUCAGCAAUUCACCCACCAAGCCCACAGGGGAAGAAGUGUAGGGGGAGGGCUGGCAUGUGCCAAGGCCCCAAGGAACACCUAUGUGGGGCUCAGGCAGUGAGGCUGGGAAGAGGGAGGAGGCAUUGUUACCCUCAACCCCCCCCCCCCCCCCCAACUAACAUAAAGCUAGGGUGAGGCUUUUAUCCUGGAGCACUAGGGAGCCACUGAAGGUUCUGAAGAAAUGGUGUGGUAUGGUCAGGGUGGGGCUGGAGGUCACCUGAUCUGCCACAUAUGCUGGACAGGGGGCCACAUCUGCGAAUCUCAUCUGGUGGAAAGACAGAGGCUGGAGGAAGUGGAGCUGUUGCCCCAAAGCCAAAGAGCCAAAGCACGAGGGACAGAGCAGAGCACCCAACACAUGCGUUAUGCUCCUGGGUCACAAGGAGAUGGACCCACUGCCCCUGUGGCACAGGACAGGUCCCUGCAACACAAGUGCCAGAGGAGGAUCCAGGCAGGUGGACCAGGCCCUGCCUUGCCCUGGCCUAACCUCCCCGCUGUAAACCACAGCCAGCUGAGCACUGAUGUCACCUGUGCUGGGACUUCCUGAACCUUCACCUUGGAUCUGCCUGGACCCAUGGGGAAAUUCCAAGCCAGGCAGGGACCAGCUGACUCAUGUCCAGGCUCCAGUGGCAUGCAAGUGGCCAGGCUUCUGAGGGGCAUCGGGGGCAUUUGGAUCACUCUGUGGAAUCUGCCCCCAGGCUUAGGGAGAAGCCAGACUCCCCAGCCUCAGGUCAGGAGUCCCCAUCAGAACCUGCUAAGUGAGGCCAGGAAGCUGGGUUCCAAAGGGUGAGAAUUUGGGGCUUCAGAGUUUUUCUGGAAGUGGGGUACUGAGCUGGUCAUUUGAUAUCCCCAGGGCUGUACAAAUGACCAGCCAAAAGGAUGGAGCUCCAGCAGCAGAGCAUGAGGUUACUACCUCCUGGGUUCAAAUCCCAGCUCUGCUAGUGGCUCUGGGACCCCAGGCAGGUUACUUAACCUCCACGUGCCUCCGUUUCUCCACCUGUAAAAUGGAGAAAAAUCACAGUACCUCCUUUGGAGGGUUUUUGUGAGAAUUUGUUGAGGAUCACUGUGAGCUUGGGGACGUUAUGGUAAAAAUGUUUUAAAAAAACAAACUCAUCGCAGCACAAUUCAUAACAGAAGUGGAAACAACCCCAUGUACUUCAGUUAAUGUCGUCAUGUACAGAUGUGAGAGUUGAACCAUAAAGAAGGCUGAGCACUGAAGAAUUGAUGCUUUUGAACUAUGUUGCUGGAGAAGACUCCCGAGAGUCCCUUGGACUGCAGAGAUCAAACCAGUCGAUCCUAAAGAAAGUCAACCCUGAAUAUUCAUUGGAAGGACUGAUGCUGAAGCUGAAGCUCCAAUACUUUGGCCACCUGAUGCGAAGAGCCGACUCGUUGGAAAAGACCCUGAUGUUAGGAAAGAUUGCGGGCAGGAAGAGAAGGGGACAACAGAGAAUGAGAUUGUUGGAUGGCAUCACCGACUCAAUGGACAUGAAUUUGAGCAAUCUCCGGGAGAUGGUGAAGGACAGGGAAGCCUGGUAUGCUGCAGUCCAUGGGGUCACAGAGUUGGACACGACUGAACAAGAAUAACAUCAACUUCAGUUAAUGGGUGGACACACACACCGGUCCCUCCACACACAGGAACAUCAUUCAUCAUGAAAAGGGAUGAAGCCCUGACACUGGCUACCACGUGGAUGGACCCCAAGAACAUGAUGCUCAAUGAAAGAAGCAGACAGACAGACACACCAUGGGAUUCCACUGAUGGGAAGUGUCCAGAUCAGGAAGAUCCACAGACACAGAGAGUGGGUUCCUGGUUGUCAGGGGCUAGGGAGGGGGUGAAAAUGACUGCUUAUUGGGGAUUCGAUGUUUUAAAGGGGUGAUGACAAUGUUUUGAAAUUAGAGGUGGUGGUUGUACAGGGUGAAUGUACUAAACGCCACUGUACUGUACAUUUUAAAAUGGUCCAUUGUGGACUUCCCUGGUGAUUAAAAGUCCACUUGCUGAUCAGGGGACACAGGUUCAAUAUCCCUGGUCAGGGAAGAUCCCAUAAGCUAAGGAACAAAUAAGCCCAUGUGCCGCAACUAUUGAUGUGCAAGCGCCCUACCUGUGCUCAUGAACAAGAGAAGCCCCCAUACCCUAACUAGAGAGUAGCCCCAACUCACCACAACUAGAGAAAGUCUGGGCACAGAGCAGCCAAAAUAAAUAAGCAAUAAUAAUAAAACAGUUAAUUGUAUGUCAUGUGAAUUUCACCAAACUAACAAAAGGGAAAGCAAAGGGCAAUUGACCCUGUAAUCAAAAGGGUGACAGAUGUCACAAUCAAGACGUCAUGAAAUCCUAAACUAAAGUUGCAUUCGGAUCCAGGAAGGCCUCCAAAAGCAACAGGUUUCAAACACACUGGAGAAAUUCCAUGACCACUGACCGUGAUCUUCGGUGUGGACAGUGGGGACCCUUGAUGUAAUGGGCUGGGAUAACUCCUCACCCUGUGGUCUUCCUCCCCAAGCCCAUCACCCUGGUCUAACCCUGAGAACACCACCAUGUGUGCUAAGUUGCUUCUGUUGUGUCUGACUCUGUACAACUCUAUGGAUUGUAGCCCAUCAGGUUCCUCUGUCCAUGAGAUUCUUCAGGCAAGAAUACUGAAGUGGGUUGCCAUGCCCUGCUUCAGGGGAUCUUCCCGACCCACGGGUUGAACCCACAUCUCUUACAUCUACUUGCAUUGGCAGGUGGGUUCUUUACCACUAGUGCUGCCUGUGAAGGUCUGAGAACAACACUGGAAAAACUCAAUCAAGGGACGAUCUACGAGAUUUCCCACCAGUCUCCCUUCAAAGCUGUCCAGCCAUCAAACACAAGGAAAAUCUGGACUUCCCUGGUGGUCCAGUGGUUAAGACUCCAUGCUUCUAACGAGGGGGUGGAGGUUCAACAUCUGCUCAGGGGAACAAAGGUCCCAAAUACCCUGCAAUGCAGGCAUGAUAAAUAAAUAAUAAAAUAAGUAAAAACAAGGGAAGUCUGAAAAAUUGUCACAACCCAGAGUUGUAAUGACUAAAUGUCAUGUGGGAAUCCUGAUGGGGAGUCUUGGGGCAGGAAAA